rnacentral:lncRNA from 1 species
UUCAUCCUUGACAAUAGGUUCCAUAAAAUCCAUCUUACAAGUGACAGGUUUGCACAGAUGUUUUUAAAUGAAGUGUUGAAUAAAUGGUUCCUCUUGUUUCUAGCAAGCAUGAGAGUGAGAGAGCGAGUGAGCAAAAGAAAUGACUAGUGACCAGUUGAGAAAGUCCUGUCUUCCAUUGAGCCAUUUCACUCCUGCCCAUCUACUCUCAACUGCUCAAGAGCCGCUGAACCCUCUGAACACUGUGAGGAUCAGAUGAGACAACGUGUGUGAAAACACCUUACAAAUACAAAGCUGUGAAGAUGUAAAGGAUGGUUAUUACAGAAUGGAGGUGAUGAGUACAGAAUCAUGGAAUAGCAGCUGUGGAUUAAGAAGAGUGAACAGGGCUGGGUGCGGUGGCUCACGCCUGUAAUCCCAGCAGUUUAGGAGGCCAAGGCGGGCAGAUCACCAGGUCAGGAGAUCAAGACUAUCCUGGCUAACACGGUGAAAUCCUGUGUCUACUAAAAAUACAAAAAAUUAGCCAGGUGUGGUGGCAGGCGCCUGUAGUCCCAGCUAAUCGGGAGGCUGAGGCAGGAGAAUGGUGUGAACCCGGGGGGCAGAGCUUGCAGUGAGCCGAGAUCGCACCACUGCACUCCAGCCUGGGUGACAGAGCGAGACUCUGUCUCCAAAAAAAAAAAGAAGAAGAAGAAGAAGAGUGAACAUACGUGAAUUGAGAUUGGUGUUGUGUUAAAUGAAACAAAGAAAUAAUUUGACAUAUAUAUAAUAUAUUUUUUCAGCUGGAUGAAUGAUUACUAUACAUAGAUGUUAAUUGAUUCAUGUAAAUCACCAGGGUUACAGUUUAUGGGAGCCUUUUAAAAAUAAGUGCAAUUACAUAAUGACCAAGUCUGUAGGGAGGUCUUACCGCCUUUAGAAAAUCAUCCUUCCUUUCAUUCCUGAAUAAGUCACUGCAUUUUGGCUACUAUUAUUUUACCUGUCCGUACCAUGUAUAGUUACUGAUAUGGUUUGGGUCUGUGUCCCUGCCCAAAUCUCAUGUCAAAUUAUAAUUCCCAGAGUUGGAAGUGGAGCCUGGUGGGAGGUGAUUGGAUCGUUGGGGCAGAUUUCCCCUUUGGUGCUGUUCUCAUGAUAGUGAGAGAGUUAUCAUGAGAUUUGAUCAUUUAAAAGAGUGUAGCACCUCCCUCCUGUCUCUCUUCCUUCUGCUCCAACCAUAUAAGAUGUAUUUGCUUUCCCUUCAUCUUUGUCAUGAUUGUAAGUUUCCUGAGGCCUCCCCAGCCAUGCUUCUGGUAUAGCCUGCUUAACUGUGAGCCAAUGAAACUUCUUUUCUUUGUGAAUUAUUUAGUUUCAGGUGUUUCUUUAUAGUGAUUUGAGAAAAGACUAAUACAGUUACUGACAGAAUAGUAUCCCCAUUCACUAUGUGAGUAACUCUUCUUUAAAUGUUGUGGUUUCAUCUAGAGAUUUAUCUUCUGACCCACCAAGGACCAAACCAUGAAUGUAGGGAAUGGGGUUUCAUUUAAAGGCGGCACUGUGAAGUCAGGUAUUUCUGUCAGUCUUUCUGUCAGCACUUUAGGCAAAGCAAAUUGGAAGUGAACUGAACAGAUGGGACCUGUUAAGAGAGACCCUUAGGAAGGUCUCCAGGUGGGGCCGCAAUCCUUAACAUUGCCAUAUAGCAAAUUCUUCUUCUCUUGGUAAUAAAUAGACUAACAGACCAUGAUUAUUUUUCUUAAUCAAAGAACCAAACUCCUAAGCCUUUUUUUAAUAGACAGCCUGCUUUAUAUCUACACUGAUGAAGAAAAUAAGAAAUAUCUAAUAAAGCUUAAGAUGUAUAUCUGCUUAUGCUUAAAGCCUGUUUAUUUAGAAUACCUCUGCCUGCUAGCACUUUUUAGUAGGUAUGUCUGGAGAGAGAUUGGUGAGAAACUCACUCCUUCCUGUCCAAUAUAAGGCAGAACAAAGGUGUGACUGGGUGUCAAUGUCACUGUGGGUUUUCAAUUUCUGCUGAUAGAAAUGUAAAACUUUCUCAGGAGUCUUGGUUUUACAUGCUGGGAAACCCCCUUCCAACUCAGUCCUCAUAGAAACUUACCGGUAGGGGUGAAACUUUUUUCCAAACUCCAUUUCACUCCCUAACUGAGCAAUACCAGGUUUACAUGAUUAGAAAUUCCCAUCUUUAGGCAAAAAUACUGGAAGCAGUAGAAUAAUACUGAGAUAUUGUUUUGCAUUGCAUUUGACAGGAAAUAAGAAACAUGUGAGGUCCUUUUAUGAGUCUCUAUCUUUUGACAUUCUGAAAUUUCUUCCUUAUCAUGAUAUUAAGAAUUAAAGAACACUUUCUGCUGAAGAUGAGAGAUAGAUUCCUAAUUUUGUAAUAUCGUAGAACUAGCACUAAUGCCAGCAGUCUCAGAUUAGUCUUAAAUCACUA